AUGCCUAUGGAUCUUGGAGCAGUUGUGAAGCAAGUAUCUAGGAGGAUUGUGUUCCUGGAGCAGUGGCUCUGUGCUACCAGACGAGAUGAGCAGGAUUGUGCUUCAGAGGGAGGAUCUUUAAUGACCAAAUCUGCAGCACAGAUGGGGUUGGGCUCUGGGAUGUUUGUGAAGAUCUGCCAGAGGAGUGGGGUGCAAGUUAAAAGCAGCAUCAGAGGAUCGAGACGGGUGAGUUUCUUCCCCCUCCUAGGAGGCGUGAUGGAGCAUUUUGGGUAUACUCUGGGUGUAUGUUGGUUUGAGGUACAUUUGUGCAGACUGCAUAUUGUUAUAUAAAGUCCAGUGAGUUUAUUGGUUAGACAGCUGUUGGCAUGGGAGUUGUGUAGUACAUUUAGGAAACUUUUCUUACGGUUUUUGCUCUUUUAAUGGACAUGAAAGAUACUGUUAUCAGAGAAAUGUAAGAAUAUGAAACCCUUGCAUUUUUAAUGAUUGAGAUUUUGGUUUUGUAACCUAUAUUAACAGCUUCAAUUUCUUGUCUUUUGUGUCAAGCUGAAGACCUAGGUGGACAAGCAAAUUGAUCUAUGUCCUUGGUAAGCAGGCAAGGAAAAAAUGGGUUGAGGGAAGGGAUAAGUUGUUAACUCUGUUUUGGGAUGGAAUUUGUGAACUUGUGUGCAGAUGUUGAAAUGCUUUAAUGCAGAUAUUGGAGAUGGACUUUUCCCCUGUGGUAGGAGCCCUGUACUGUGGAUUUUUGCUUUUACACAUUUCUGGGUGGUUUUCUGUUGGGUUUGUUCUGGAAUUGUGUAGCACUGAACAUUGAUCAUUGAGGUCAAAAUGGGUGUUGGGGGUGGGAAUAUAGACUGGACUAUUUCUGACUAGUGCAGAGGACUGUCUAGUUUUUUUUUUCUUUAGGUUCUCUGCUGUCCGGGGGGCUGACCAGGCCUUUGCUGCUGAGAGAGGACCUUUUAACAGGAUGGGAGCCCAGAUGCAGCGGACUGAGAUCUGUCUGCGAAGAUUUGCCGGAAGACUCGUGGGCCCGUUUUUGAUUUCAGAAGACAACGGCCACAGAGGAGCAUUGAAAAUGCUGUACAAGUUCCUAAUGACAAGUGAAGAAUGAGGGGGAGGCCUUUUGUAGGGUGGAAAGAGGUUCAGGUGGUACAUGAACCUAAAAUGAAUCUCUGCAUGCUGGUCUUGUAAUGGCUGUUUGGCUCUUGGAUUGUAACUUUAGCACCUGAGCCACCUGGCAAGGAGGAGACAAAGUAACUUCCGGUGUGGGAAUGGAGAAAGUAUAUUUUGUUACUUGGUAACCAUUUUUGUAAAUUAUGGGCCAUUUGAAAAGCAGAGUUUGAGAGUCUAAGGUCAAGCAAUGAUUUAUUUGCAUGGGUGCACACAUGUACAUAAAUCUUGCAUUGGCUUUAGAGUAAAACUGAAUUGAGCCCCUAAAGUAGAAAUGAAUAAAAGGAGUAGUUAUGCCAUCCACUCGUUUGGGGGAAAAAAGGCAUUGGUUUAGCUGAGAGUUGCUCUUUUUUCAUACCUGCACAGAAAGCACUUUUGUCAUGGGGGGGAUUGUGUUCUGUUUUGUGGAUUUGUAAGUACUUUGCUAGACAAUGUUCUCCUGUAUUGAAUGUAUUUUUGUUUGUAUGGCAUCAUAAUAAAACUUACUAAAUGUAC
rnacentral:lncRNA from 1 species